rnacentral:rRNA from 1 species
GACGUAGGGGGCCAGCGUUGCUCGGAAUUACUGGGCGUAAAGGGUCCGUAGGCGGUGCGGUAAGUCGGGAGUGAAAUCUCUGGGCUUAACUCAGAGGCUGCUUCCGAAACUACCGUGCUCGAGUGCGAGAGAGGCAAGUGGAAUUGCGGGUGUAGCGGUGAAAUGCGUAGAUAUCGGGAGGAACACCUGUGGCGAAAGCGGCUCACUGGACCACAACUGACGCUGAGGCGCGAAAGCUAGGGGAGCAAACAGG